rnacentral:rRNA from 1 species
AUUGAACGCUGUCGGCAGGCCUAACACAUGCAAGUCGAGCGAGUGGCGGACGGGUGAGUAAUGUCUGGGAAACUGCCCGCUGGAGGGGGAUAACUACUGGAAACGGUAGCUAAUACCGCAUACCAUCGGAUGUGCCCAGAUGGGAUUAGCUAGUAGGUGGGGUAAUGGCUCACCUAGGCGACGAUCCCUAGCUGGUCUGAGAGGAUGACCAGCCACACUGGAACUGAGACACGGUCCAGACUCGUACGGGAGGCAGGAGUGGGGAAUAUUGCACAAUGGGCGCAAGCCUGAUGCAGCCAUGCCGCGUGUAUGAAGAAGGCCUUCGGGUUGUAAAGCACUUUCAGCGAGGAGGCGUUACUCGCAGAAGAAGCACCGGCUAACUCCGUGCCAGCAGCCGCGGUAAUUC